CUUUGAUACCUUGAAAAACGGUUGAUAUCUUCUUAACAGGAGAUGGGUUGUCAUCUUCAUAGAAUGUAAUAUCAAGCACGGAUAUAGGACUCGGUUGCUCUAAUGGAGCUGGGAGUUCGAGUUUUGGCAUUGUCUUUUUGUUGGGGAGCUUGGUUCUGUUGGCAGCUUACUUGAUUGAAUUCGAGAGAUUUUCAAGUCAGAUGACUGGGUGGCGAAACCAGACAGCUUCUCCAUCCCAUGUUUUUUCUGUGGCAUUCUUGGGUUCAAAUUUGGAGAGCUCUUCCUAAAGUUGGCAAGGUUUUUUCUACCUGUCUGUUGAGAAGCCUUUAGAUGCUGCAACGAAUUUACAGCAUUCUCUCCAGACCAUAUCUUCUGGAGACAUGAUUUAUCGUCAUCUGGAAUUACAGAGUUCUCAAUAAGCUUAGCUGAUCUGGCUUUGACAAUUUGCGUUCCACGGUUUUUAGGAGAAGUCGACCCCUUGACGGGUGAAACUGGGCUGUUACAUCUCCUUCUCUGUGCAGGUGCCUGAUUUGAGCUGUUGUUGGAGCUGCUUUGACUUGUACAAGACUCAGAAUUUGGAAGAAGAUGCUAGUGGAAGCUUUGUGGAUGUUUCUUGGCAAUUCAUCGAUUGCCUCCGAGAGCCUUGAUUGCUGUCUAUCUGUGUCCUUGGAGCUUUUUUAACUGAAAACAUUGAACCCGAGAUUGAAUCCAUGUAUACGCUGUCAUUUUUGAGUCUAGGAGAGACAGACGUAUUGCAGUGAACCUUUGGAGAUCCCGAACCUGUACUUUGCCUGCUCCGAGCAAGAACUUUUAAAGAUGGUGAGAUAGUUUCAGAUUCUUCAAGCAGGCAGGAUUUCACUUCUAUUGCCUGACCUUCGGUUGGAGCAGUGUCUGGGAUAGGCUCAAAACCCAUCAAUCUUGCUACAAUUGCAGAUGGUUUUUUGUUACUGCCUGGCUCUUGGUUCUCGGUUAUGAUUUGACCAUGUACCCUAGAUUCCUCAUCUUUCCUCGGCAUUUGGUUUUUUCUACAUUCAGAAGAAGAUAUCCUGGGAGAGCGUUCUCUGCUGUCCAGUGAUAGCCUUGGAAGCUCUUUGAGUUUUGUGGUUGAUUUUAAUUUACGUCGUGAUUCUGUUUCAUCAUAAGAGUAUCGUGGACUGUCUCUUGGCACCAAUGGCAAAGCACUAAACCUCUCUUUGUUGGCGUUCCAUGGUCCAUCACGAAGCUUACUUAGAACUUGAAGCGAUACAUCACGUCUGUCAACUUCGGCUUGAACAUGUUUGUGUUGCUGCUGGGGCCGAGGAGAAUCCUUUUGCUUUAUGGCUUCAUAUGCCUUUUCUUCUGUGGUGUUGGUUUUAACUGAUAAUCCAGGGGACUGUUUGUACAUGGACUCCUUAACUAUGUCACGAAGAUCUACAGAUUGCCGAGACAACUGCAACGAGGAGUUUGGCUGUUUUGGAGGUGAGACCACAGAUGUCAUUUCAGGUAAAUUGCUGUGGCAGGAUGAUGAUGGUUCCGAUUGACUUGUUUUAUUAUAAUCUACUGAUGAGAAAGUAGAGGAUGAACACGAGGAUGAACAUGAGGUUCUUGAUAAUUCCACAUUGGUCAUUAGCUUCUUCUCUUUCCUGAACUGCGUUGGGACGCUUUUCUGUUUUUCUGUCGCAAGGAUUUCAAAGCAUGAGUGUGAAUGAUAACUAUUGCGACGAACUUACCAGAAGUUUGUCUUGAGCUUAUUUCACAGUUGAAACUUAGAAGCUGUAUCGUGAGAGGAAGAAGAAAGAGAUGGAAGAACUUAUAGAGAGAGAAGAAUGGAGCCAGGUGGGAUGAGUUAGUAACUAUUUGUUCUUCAACUUUUGUGCAUAAAUGAAACUGUAAGUGGUAACUGCUGGUAGAUUCUGCAGAGUCUAGAAAUGAUAUUGGGUUUUCUCACAAAAGAAAUAGAGAAUAAUGGUUCUUGUUUUUGGCUCUCUCAAGUAAAGGCUGCUAGGGACUAGAGCUAUGGAGGAGAUGUUGUGUAAUAUAUAGGCAAUUAAAUUGCUGGGAAGGGAAUAUGGCUGGAAGUAUUUUAAUUCUGGAUUGAAGCAGUAGGGACAAUCUUUUAAGCAUUUGAAAGAUUGAGAUUGGUGGGCCAGAUCUAGUGUGAAUUGUGGGUCAGAUCUUCACAGUCAUUUUCCCUCCCACUUUCAUUUUAGACAAUAAAAUGUGGGUGGGGUUUGGACCUCUCUACAUGACCAUGUGGAGAUUGUCAGAGGUUGCAAGAAUUAGGAGAGUGAAUUAUGUACUGGCAGCAAUGCAGAGUCUAAAGUCCUCUUUUAACUAUUGCAUUAACAAAAUUACAUAACUAACCCUCUUUAUCAGAUUGUCAUACAGUCAUAGUUCCUGCUAACAAAGCAUGAAUCAGGGACUGAAUGUCACAAGAGUUUGAAUUAUUCUGAUAACUUGUUUGGAUAAAGGGGUUGCUUCCAAGUAUUGUCAUGAUUUUUAGAAAAUAGUAGUUGUUAUAUAUUUAGUAAAUGUAUUAUGAUUCUUUACUUUGCUUUAUGUCUAAAUUUGCUCUAAUGAGUUACUUUUUACUUUGUAUUUAUAGUAUGUUCUGGUUGGUACUCUUUACUUGACAGCUUCUUUUCCUCUUUGUGCAUAUCAUCCAAUUAUACCUCUGUGUCCUCCUGUGUUAACUAACUGUAGUUGCUCAUUUUAUCCCCCUCUAAUCCCAGAGUUUCCGGUGCUAGCCCCAAGAACAAUUAAAAUGUUGCAAAGGUGGGACUCUGAGGACCUACGAUAUUCAAGUUCAUGUCUGGUGUCACAUUUCAAUUUAAGUUCACAGCUGUAUCAGAGUUCUAUUCUCCACAAGUGAAUAUAAAGAGAUGAUAUAUGAAGGUUACAGCUAAUAUCAUCCUACAGAGUAACUUGUAAGUACUUUCAAGUUUCGAUGAAAUCUGUUUACUUUGACCCAUGCUUUUUACUUGGUCAUUUUGUAAUUACAAUCCAAGUACUAAUUGCUUUUCUUGCAUUUGUCAAAUAUAUCAACUGCUUCACUU